CUACCACAAUGGUAAACCACUACCUACCCUGAGAACCAAGACCACUCUUAUCUCAGUGUAGGACGUGUCUUUCAAGACCACUAGUCCACUAUACCUAUACUCAGAACCAGCAGUUUGAAGUUUAGGCUAGUGAGAAUCUACCACAAAGGACGUGUAUUUCAUGACCACUACCUACACUGAGAACCAACAGUUUGACGUUUAGACUAGUGAGAAUCUACCACAAAGGACGUGUAUUUCAAGACCACUACCUACACUGAGAACCAACAGUUUGAAGUUUAGACUAGUGAUAAUCUACCACAAAGGACGUGUAUUUCAAGACCACUGCCUAUACUGAGAACCAACAGUUUGAAAUUUAGACUAGUGAGAAUCUACCACAAAGGACGUGUAUUUCAAGACCACUACCUACACUGAGAACCAACAGUUUGAAGUUUAGACUAGUGAGAAUCUACCACAAAGGAUGUGUAUUUCAAGACCACUACCUACACUGAGAACCAACAGUUUGAAGUUUAGACUAGUGAGAAUCUACCACAAAGGAC